rnacentral:rRNA from 1 species
GACGAACGCUGGCGGCGUGCCUAGUACAUGCAAGUAGAACGCACAGUUUAUACCGUAGCUUGCUACACCAUAAACUGUGAGUUGCGAACGGGUGAGUAACGCGUAGGUAACCUGCCUGGUAGCGGGGGAUAACUAUUGGAAACGAUAGCUAAUACCGCAUAAUAUUGAUUAUUGCAUGAUAAUUGAUUGAAAGAUGCUAUUGCAUCACUACCAGAUGGACCUGCGUUGUAUUAGCUAGUAGGUGAGGUAACGGCUCACCUAGGCGACGAUACAUAGCCGACCUGAGAGGGUGAUCGGCCACACUGGGACUGAGACACGGCCCAGACUCCUACGGGAGGCAGCAGUAGGGAAUCUUCGGCAAUGGACGAAAGUCUGACCGAGCAACGCCGCGUGAGUGAAGAAGGUUUUCGGAUCGUAAAGCUCUGUUGUAAGAGAAGAACGGGUGUGAGAGUGGAAAGUUCACACUGUGACGGUAUCUUACCAGAAAGAGACGGCUAACUACGUG